CAGCACCUCAAGUGGUCAGGAUGAUUAUUGGGCCUAAAGCAUCCGUAGCCUGCUUUGUUAGUUUUCGGUUAAAUCCAUACGCUCAACGUACAGGCUGCCGGGAAUACUGCAGCGCUAGGGAGUGGGAGAGGUAGACGGUACUCGGUAGGAAGGGGUAAAAUCCUUUGAUCUAUUGAUGACCACCUGUGGCGAAGGCGGUCUACCAGAACACGUCCGACGGUGAGGGAUGAAAGCUGGGGAGCAAACCGGAUUAGAGACCCGAGUAGUCC
rnacentral:rRNA from 1 species